GACGAACGCUGGCGGCGUGCUUAACACAUGCAAGUCGAACGCUGAAGCACCAGCUUGCUGGUGUGGAUGAGUGGCGAACGGGUGAGUAAUACGUGAGUAACCUGCCCUUGACUCUGGGAUAAGCCCGGGAAACUGGGUUUAAUACUGGAUGCUACAUGUCACCGCAUGGUGGUGUGUGGAAAGGGUUUACUGGUCUUGGAUGGGCUCACGGCCUAUCAGCUUGUUGGUGAGGUAAUGGCUCACCAAGGCGACGACGGGUAGCCGGCCUGAGAGGGUGACCGGCCACACUGGGACUGAGACACGGCCCAGACUCCUACGGGAGGCAGCAGUGGGGAAUAUUGCACAAUGGGCGAAAGCCUGAUGCAGCGACGCCGCGUGAGGGAUGACGGCCUUCGGGUUGUAAACCUCUUUCAGCAGGGAAGAAGCCACAAGUGACGGUACCUGCAGAAGAAGCGCCGGCUAACUACGUG
rnacentral:rRNA from 1 species